rnacentral:rRNA from 1 species
UGGUGGGUUGCCUUGUCAGGUUGAUUCCGGUAACGAACGAGACCUCAGCCUGCUAAAUAGUUACUUCUACUUUGGUAGAAGGCGAACUUCUUAGAGGGACUAUUGGCGUUUAGCCAAUGGAAGUGUGAGGCAAUAACA